rfam:Nicotiana sylvestris Nsyl_contig55426, whole genome shotgun sequence.
ACACCGUGGUGUGGGAACUUUUUCAAAAGUCCCUUAAAUCUUUCCCAAGAUUCGUAAACAGAUUCUGCAUCGAGUUGAGAAAAAUUAUUAAUUUCUUGUCUCAUUCU